UCCUGUAUCGAAAGUGGUCAUGACGUCCUCGUCGUCAGGUCAUUGAUAGUACAGGAAGAUCAGCCUGAGAGCCUUUCCCGUGUUUGAAGGAUCCUUGUUCCUAUCAGACCCUGAUGCUCUCAGACA